ACGGCCACACCAUGAUGAAAACACCGGUUCCCCGUCCGAUCGCCGAAGUUAAGCAUCAUCGGGCGCGGCCAGUACUUGCGGGAGGGGACCACCUGGGAACACCAGUGCGC